rnacentral:rRNA from 1 species
AUUGAACGCUGGCGGCAUGCUUUACACAUGCAAGUCGAACGGCAGCGCGGGCUUCGGCCUGGCGGCGAGUGGCGAACGGGUGAGUAAUGCAUCGGAACGUGCCCAGCAGUGGGGGAUAGCCCGGCGAAAGCCGGAUUAAUACCGCAUACGACCUGAGGGUGAAAGCGGGGGACCGAAAGGCCUCGCGCUAUUGGAGCGGCCGAUGUCGGAUUAGCUAGUUGGUGGGGUAAAGGCUUACCAAGGCGACGAUCCGUAGCUGGUCUGAGAGGACGACCAGCCACACUGGGACUGAGACACGGCCCAGACUCCUACGGGAGGCAGCAGUGGGGAAUUUUGGACAAUGGGGGCAACCCUGAUCCAGCCAUGCCGCGUGCGGGAAGAAGGCCUUCGGGUUGUAAACCGCUUUUGUUCGGGAAGAAAUCCUCUGGGCUAAUACCCCGGGGGGAUGACGGUACCGGAAGAAUAAGCACCGGCUAACUACGUG